UGAAUACUAAAGGACAUCAUUGGCUAAUGAAUGCUAGACUCACCAAGUUCCAAAGUUUGCUCUGUGAAAAUCCCCAUAUAACCGCUGAAGUUUGUAACAUCCUGAACCCCACCACCUUGCUCCCGGUAUCAGAGAGCACUGUCGAGCAUGAUUGUGUAGAAGUGUUAGACUCAGUUUACUCUAGCAGACCUGACCUCCGGGACCAGCCUUGGGCAUCAGUAGACUGGGAACUACACGUGGACGGGAGCAGCUUCAUCAACCCACAAGGAGAGAGAGGUGCAGGGUGUGCGGUGGUAACCCUGGACACUGUUGUUGAAGCCAGAUCAUUGCCCUAGGGCACUUCAGCCCAGAAAGCUGAACUCAUUGCUUUAAUUCGGGCCUUAGAACUCAGUGAAGGUAAGACUGUAAACGUUUACACUGAUUCUCCGUAUGCCUUUUUAACCCUUCAAGUGCAUGGAACAUGAUAUAAAGAAAAGGGCCUAUUGAACUCUGGGGGAAAAGACAUAAAAUAUCAACAAGAAAUCUUGCAAUUAUUAGAAGCAGUAUGGAAACCCCACAAGGUGUCAGUUAUGCAUUGCAGAGGACACCAGCGAGCUUCCACCUUGGUGGGUUUGGGGAAUUCCCUCGCUGACCCAGAGGCUCGAAAAGCAGCAACUGCCCCCUUCCGGGCAUCAGUCACAGCCCCUCUGCUCCCUCAAGCACCUGAUCUUGCACCUACUUAUUCUAAAGAAAAGGACUUUCUCCAGGAAGAUGGAGGACAAGUGAUGCAGGAAGGAUGGAUUUGGUUACCAGAUGGGAGAGUAGCUGUGCCACAGCUGUUAGGAGCUGCAGUUGUACUGGCUGUGCAUAAAACCACCCAUCUAGGCCAGGAGUCACUUGAAAAGUUGUUAGGCUGGUAUUUCUACAUCUCACAUUUGUCAGCCCCUGCCAAAAUAGUGACGCAGCAGUGUGUUACCUGCUGACAGCAUAAUGCGAGGCAAGGUCCAGCCAUUCCACCCGGCAUACAGGCUUAUGGAGCAGCCCCCUUUGAAGAUCUCCAGGUAGAUUCCACAGAGAUGCCAAAGUGUGGAGUAACCCGUGUGCUUCUUCGAGAUCUUAUUCCUAGAUUUGGACUGCCCUUACGGAUCGGCUCAGAUAACGGGCCGGCAUUUGUGGCUGACUUGAUACAGAAGACAGCAAAGGUAUUGGGGAUCACAUGGAAACUGCAUGCCGCCUACCAGCCUCAGAAUUCCGGAAAGGUGGAGUGGAUGAAUCGGACUAUCAAAAAUAGUUUAGGGAAAGUAUGUCAGGAUACAGGAUUAAAAUGGAUAUAGGCUCUCCCUAUGGUAUUAUUUAAAAUUAGAUGUACCCCUUCUAAAAGAACAGGAUAUUCCCCUUAUAAAAUAUUAGGCCCCCUCCCAUAUUGCGGGGACUUCCAGGCACUCCCCGAGAGUUAGGUGAAAUUGAGUUACAGUGACAGCUACAGGCUCUAGGAAAAAUUGCACAAACAAUCUCAGCCUGGGUAAAUGAGAGAUGCCCUGUUAGCUUAUUCUCCCCAGUUUACCCUUUCUCCCCAGGUGAUCAAGUAUGGAUUAAAGACUGGAAUGUAGCUUCUUUGUGCCCAUGGUGGAUAGGACCCCAGAUUGUCAUCCUGACCACUCUCACCGCUGUGAAGGUAGAAGGAAUCCCAGCCUGGAUCCACCACAGCCAUGUAAAACCUGCAGCGCCUGAAACCUGGGAGGCAAGACCAAGCCCGGACAACCCUUGCAGAGUGACCUUGAAGAUGAUGACAAGCCCUGCUCCAGUCACACCCAGAAGCUGACUAGUCCAUGCACGGCCGAAGCAUGAGGAAGCUCAUCGUGGAACUCAUUUUUCUUAAAUUUUGGACUUGUACAGUAAGGACUUCAACUGACCUUCCUCAGACUGAGGUAGGGCAAAAAGUUAAAACAGUCUUUCUGUUUAAAAGGGACUUGUGUGUAUAAUGCCACCCAGUACAAGGUAUGCAGCUCAGGAAGUGACCAGACUCAAGUGUGCUACAACCCAGUAGAACUACUUAAUCCCCAUUGGAAAACAAGAGAGUAUGUAACUCUAGGAGUCAAUGGAAUUGGACUGGCAGGAAGACCUAGGUAAUGUAGGUGGAAGUGAGAACUCCCACUAGUGAGUGAGGUUCUCAAAGGGGAGAAUGAGGAGGGAAGCCAUUUCUCUUACUGUCUCCUGUCUCUGAAGAACAGGAGGAAGUAAAAGUUGAAAAACAACAGGAAGGAAGUCAGUGGCAAGACCAGCCAGUGCCACUGAUGACCUGGCCUGAGGUUAAAAGGUUAACCACCCCCCUCUCCUCUAACCACAUGUGCUCUCAAUCCAUCACGACCCUUUCAUGUGGAACCCCUUAGAGUUGUAAGCCCUUAAAAGGGCCAGGAACUCUGUCUUCGGGGAGCUCGGCUCUUAAGAUGCGAGUCUGCCAACGCUCCCAGCCAAAUAAAAACCUCUUCCUUCUUCAA